UGAAAACUAAAAAUUAUAUAUUUAUUAAUGUGUCCUUUUUUAACUAUUUUGCUCAUAACAACAUUUAAAACCGUAAUUUUAACGAAACACAUACCAAAUAAUAUUUUUGUUCAACAAUAAUUUUCUAUUUUGUCAUCAAACAAGUAAAUUGCUUUUCAAAAUAGCAAUGUAUGAUUAGCACGUCUUAAAAUAGCAUCAACAACAAUGCAAAUAUACCCUUACUAGGUAUGAAAACAUAAUUUGGAUAUUCAAAAUAUUUGGCUGCUAACCAUAGACUUUUUCAUUUAAUAAAAGAAAAAUAAAUAAACAUCCAUUUGAAUAAUCAUAUAUUAAUUAGAACGUAAUAACUCUAUAAUGUUCACAAUUUCAUCUCAAAUCUCAGAAGAGGCUGCACUGCAAAAUGGACAUUGAUAAGCAAAAGAACUAGUAUCUUCAUUCAUCCUCGGAAGUGAAUAUUAACCGAUGGCUGCAAGAACAUCGUUUGCUGAAUUGAGAGAGCUAGUGGCAAAAAUGGAUGGAAAAGGAAUGAUGAGACCUUUCUUUUUUGACAGUCUAUACUUCCAGCUUCCGGACCUGGCUUAAUCUUAAAUUUGAGGGUACAUGGUUGUCUUCUAGAAAUAAACUUGAUGGGAUGGUCUGUUGAAGGCCUAUGCCGGUCAGCAGCAGAUAUGAGCUACAACAGAACAACAAUGAAUGGUAACAAACAAGAAAACAUGAGAAAUAACAAAUAUGUAGUAGAAUUUUUGCUCACAGACAUGAGAACGUAUUACGUGCACAAAAAUCAUAAAGCUACUACACGAUCUGUUCCAGAAGAUGGGAUAAAUGAAGAAAACAUAACCUAGCUUUUACUUUAAAAAAGCUACACAAAAUCAAGAAUACAAAAACAUAAAAGAGUAGAUAUAGCCAAGAGAAUAGAUUCGACCCCAUGUAUCUAAAACCACCUAUAUUCUUAAUUCCUCUUAGUAAUUUCCCUCUUUCGUACCUCAACGCCCGCUCUUCCUUUCUUAAACCUGAAAUUUCUUUAGCAACUAUUUCAUUUCACUUGUUCACUCCUCUUGGAGGGGAGGGGGUUGGAUGGGUUAGGUUGUUUUGUGCUUUCUUAUACAAUGUCUUACUUUCAUUGUUUUAACAUAUUUUAUGCUCCAUUUGAAGAUUCGAUGAGAAUUUGAUAACCAGCCAUUGGAAAGGAUGAGGCUCUAAACCUUCACAGUCCACAAGUUUCCUUCACAAUUACAAGUUCAAAUGAUUCAUCUUCAACAUCGGGCCCUCUAUUAAUCAACACGAGCAAGCCUAUUUCAUUUUUUUUUCCUAUAAGAGCAACAGGAAACAAUUGUCACCAAACUUUCAUUUUGAAAUUCCUUCGAGUCACUCAGUGGUGUUUUAGACAGUCAUUAAGUGGACAUUAUGCUAUUAAGCCUUCUUCACUUGCACAGUUACACUGGAUUUGUUUCCUGGUAUCUCUUCAUUUGAGACCAUUUUUGAAAGUGGGUGGUAUUUAUAUAUCACAAGUUCAGGCUUCAGGUAGGCAUGCACAAUGUUUAUUGGAGGAAAGAAUUACAUGGCUCUGAAACUAAUAUCACAAGUUCUUAUCGAUAUGUGUUUUUAUACCUAGAAGUAGAAUCUUUAUGGUGCAAGCAGAGCCAAGGCUGUUUUUUAUCACUAAGCAAACUCUAGAUUUCCCAUGUGGACUCUGGAUGUUUUCCAGCAUUCAUGUUAGCAAACUAAGGUACUGUUUAUUUCAUUGGAAAAUAUUUCUACAUUAUACGAAAUUUGAGAUGCUUAUGAAAAGUGGUCAGUGGAACCAGACUUGACAGACUCAUCGAAAAGAAGAUACGAACUAUAUAAGCACAUACACCUUAGUCCAGUACUGUCACCAACCACUAUCAGUCGCAAGCAAUAAUAAUAACAAUUUAAGGCAAUAAUAAUAUUUUAACAUUUUUUAUGCAAUUUCUCAUAUUAAACAAUAAAUACAAAAAAAGUGGCUUUUAUGCAUCCCAACAUUGUCUUAUAUCUCCAAAGAAAAGUAAUAUUUCCUAAUAAAUUGCAAAUGCCAAAAAAUGAUUUUUGAUUAAUUUUCAAUACUGCAACCGAACAAUAAAAAGUGAGAUAUUUUCUCAGAAAAUAUUUUCCUCAAAGUAAGGUACUUUCCAUGAAACAAAUGGAGCUUAAGUGCUUAAGUUUUAGAAGGUUUUAGUUGGUUGUUUUUGUCAUGACCAUAGGUGGCAUAUUGAUCUUAGCAAAAACACAAGAUUACAAAAGCCUAUAUAGUCUAAACAUCAUCAUCUUAAAGUAAAUUUUGAGUUUUACAGUUUCUAGAACACAAUUACCAAGAGAUGAUAUUUCUUUGGCUUAAAUGAAAUAACCUUUUAGUCCCUAAAACUAAAGUACAUCAUAUGUGAAAUUACAAGCUCUAAACAACUUUUCUUUUUAAAGUUUCAAUUACUAAACUAUAUAUUAAUUUAACAUAAGGACUAAGCAUAAGCUAAUCAUAAAGUUAAGGACCCCAACAUAAAUAAUUUUAAAAAAGGAAAGACCUGAAUGUAUAUUUUGGCAAAUGUUGGAAGUUUUUGUAAUUUACUUCCAAAAUAUUUAUCAAACAACUCCUUAAACUAAAUAGGUAGUGUUUAAAGCAUCACUUUUACAUUUUAAGCAGUUAGUGUCUCCUCAAGUUAAAGUGGUCAAUAGCAAGUUAAAAGGGCCAAGUAAACAGUAAGAAAAGAAAUAGGUUCCUGUUUGAGUAUCUAACAUUAUUAGUUAACUGGCUCAUAAUCAUGUUGAAUUGUUGAUCCAAAUCAUGUUAAAUGCGUGAGUUAACACAAAAUAAACAUGGCAUGCCAAUCAGAAUUUCCACUGGUAUGUAGUAGGCAUGCAAUAACACAAAAUAGAAACCAAUUGUGUUUUGGAAUCAAAC
rnacentral:misc_RNA from 1 species